rnacentral:rRNA from 1 species
GACGAACGCUGGCGGCGUGCUUAACACAUGCAAGUCGAACGCUGAAGCUCAGCUUUUGUUGGGUGGAUGAGUGGCGAACGGGUGAGUAACACGUGAGUAACCUGCCUCCUUCUUUGGGAUAACGCCCGGAAACGGGUGCUAAUACUGGAUAUUCACUGGUCUUCGCAUGGGGGUUGGUGGAAAGGGUUUUUCUGGUGGGGGAUGGGCUCGCGGCCUAUCAGCUUGUUGGUGGGGUGAUGGCCUACCAAGGCUUUGACGGGUAGCCGGCCUGAGAGGGUGACCGGUCACAUUGGGACUGAGAUACGGCCCAGACUCCUACGGGAGGCAGCGGUGGGGAAUAUUGCACAAUGGGCGCAAGCCUGAUGCAGCGACGCCGCGUGAGGGAUGGAGGCCUUCGGGUUGUGAACCUCUUUCGCUCAUGGUCAAGCCGCAACAAUGGUUGUGGUGAGGGUAGUGGGUAAAGAAGCGCCGGCUAACUACGUG